rnacentral:rRNA from 1 species
UACAGAGGGUGCGAGCGUUAAUCGGAAUUACUGGGCGUAAAGCGUGCGCAGACGGUUGCGUAAGUCAGAUGUGAAAUCCCCGGGCUCAACCUGGGAACUGCAUUUGUGACUGCAUCGCUGGAGUACGGCAGAGGGGGAUGGAAUUCCGCGUGUAGCAGUGAAAUGCGUAGAUAUGCGGAGGAACACCGAUGGCGAAGGCAAUCCCCUGGGCCUGUACUGACGCUCAUGCACGAAAGCGUGGGGAGC